AAAUUGAAGAGUUUGAUCAUGGCUCAGAUUGAACGCUGGCGGCAGGCCUAACACAUGCAAGUCGAGCGGAAACGAGUUAACUGAACCUUCGGGGGACGUUAACGGCGUCGAGCGGCGGACGGGUGAGUAAUGCCUAGGAAAUUGCCCUGAUGUGGGGGAUAACCAUUGGAAACGAUGGCUAAUACCGCAUGAUGCCUACGGGCCAAAGAGGGGGACCUUCGGGCCUCUCGCGUCAGGAUAUGCCUAGGUGGGAUUAGCUAGUUGGUGAGGUAAGGGCUCACCAAGGCGACGAUCCCUAGCUGGUCUGAGAGGAUGAUCAGCCACACUGGAACUGAGACACGGUCCAGACUCCUACGGGAGGCAGCAGUGGGGAAUAUUGCACAAUGGGCGCAAGCCUGAUGCAGCCAUGCCGCGUGUGUGAAGAAGGCCUUCGGGUUGUAAAGCACUUUCAGUCGUGAGGAAGGUAGUGUGUUUAAUAGAUGCAUUAUUUGACGUUAGCGACAGAAGAAGCACCGGCUAACUCCGUGCCAGCAGCCGCGGUAAUACGGAGGGUGCGAGCGUUAAUCGGAAUUACUGGGCGUAAAGCGCAUGCAGGUGGUUUGUUAAGUCAGAUGUGAAAGCCCGGGGCUCAACCUCGGAAUAGCAUUUGAAACUGGCAGACUAGAGUACUGUAGAGGGGGGUAGAAUUUCAGGUGUAGCGGUGAAAUGCGUAGAGAUCUGAAGGAAUACCGGUGGCGAAGGCGGCCCCCUGGACAGAUACUGACACUCAGAUGCGAAAGCGUGGGGAGCAAACAGGAUUAGAUACCCUGGUAGUCCACGCCGUAAACGAUGUCUACUUGGAGGUUGUGGCCUUGAGCCGUGGCUUUCGGAGCUAACGCGUUAAGUAGACCGCCUGGGGAGUACGGUCGCAAGAUUAAAACUCAAAUGAAUUGACGGGGGCCCGCACAAGCGGUGGAGCAUGUGGUUUAAUUCGAUGCAACGCGAAGAACCUUACCUACUCUUGACAUCCAGAGAACUUUCCAGAGAUGGAUUGGUGCCUUCGGGAACUCUGAGACAGGUGCUGCAUGGCUGUCGUCAGCUCGUGUUGUGAAAUGUUGGGUUAAGUCCCGCAACGAGCGCAACCCUUAUCCUUGUUUGCCAGCGAGUAAUGUCGGGAACUCCAGGGAGACUGCCGGUGAUAAACCGGAGGAAGGUGGGGACGACGUCAAGUCAUCAUGGCCCUUACGAGUAGGGCUACACACGUGCUACAAUGGCGCAUACAGAGGGCGGCCAACUUGCGAAAGUGAGCGAAUCCCAAAAAGUGCGUCGUAGUCCGGAUUGGAGUCUGCAACUCGACUCCAUGAAGUCGGAAUCGCUAGUAAUCGUGGAUCAGAAUGCCACGGUGAAUACGUUCCCGGGCCUUGUACACACCGCCCGUCACACCAUGGGAGUGGGCUGCAAAAGAAGUAGGUAGUUUAACCUUCGGGGGGACGCUUACCACUUUGUGGUUCAUGACUGGGGUGAAGUCGUAACAAGGUAGCGCUAGGGGAACCUGGCGCUGGAUCACCUCCUUAUACGAUGAU
rnacentral:rRNA from 1 species